CACGUAGGGCGCAAGCGUUGUCCGGAAUUAUUGGGCGUAAAGAGCUCGUAGGCGGUCUGUUACGUCUGCUGUGAAAACCCGGGGCUUAACCCUGGGCUUGCAGUGGAUACGGGCAGACUAGAGGCAGGUAGGGGAGAAUGGAAUUCCCGGUGUAGCGGUGAAAUGCGCAGAUAUCGGGAGGAACACCGGUGGCGAAGGCGGCUUGCUGGGCCAGUUCUGACGCUGAGGAGCGAAAGCGUGGGGAGCGAACAGG
rnacentral:rRNA from 1 species